rnacentral:rRNA from 1 species
CCCUUAGAUGUUCUGGGCCGCACGCGCGCUACACUGACGAAGUCAGCGAGCAUGUCCUACGCCGACAGGUGCGGGGAAUCUUGUCAAACUUCGUCGUGAUGGGGAUUGAUUAUUGAAAUUCUUGAUCAUCAACGAGGAAUUCCUAGUAAGCGCAAGUCAGCAGCUUGCGUUGAUUACGUCCCUGCCCUUUGUACACACCGCCCGUCGCUACUACCGAUUGAAUGGUUUAGUGAGAUCUUCGGAUUGGCGCCACUGCGGCUCAGCAAUGGGCUCGGUGGAUGCCGAAAAGUUGAUCAAACUUGAUCACUUAGAGGAAGUAAAAGUCGUAACA